rnacentral:rRNA from 1 species
UCCUACGGGGAGGCAGCAGUGGGGAAUUUUGGACAAUGGGGGAAACCCUGAUCCAGCCAUGCCGCGUGCAGGAUGAAGGCCUUCGGGUUGUAAACUGCUUUUGUACGGAACGAAAAGGUCCUUUUUAAUAAAGAGGGCUCAUGACGGUACCGUAAGAAUAAGCACCGGCUAACUACGUGCCAGCAGCCGCGGUAAUACGUAGGGUGCGAGCGUUAAUCGGAAUUACUGGGCGUAAAGCGUGCGCAGGCGGUUAUAUAAGACAGAUGUGAAAUCCCCGGGCUCAACCUGGGAACUGCAUUAGUGACUGUAUAGCUGGAGUGCGGCAGAGGGGGAUGGAAUUCCGCGUGUAGCAGUGAAAUGCGUAGAUAUGCGGAGGAACACCGAUGGCGAAGGCAAUCCCCUGGGCCUGCACUGACGCUCAUGCACGAAAGCGUGGGGAGCAAACAGGAUUAGAUACCCUGGUAGUCCACGCCCUAAACGAUGUCAACUGGUUGUUGGGAAUUCACUUUCUCAGUAACGAAGCUAACGCGUUAAGUGUCCGCCUGGGA